GAUCCUGGCUCAGGAUGAACGCUGGCGGCGUGCUUAACACAUGCAAGUCGAACGGAAGCACUUUAAUUAGAUUUCUUCGGAAUGAAGUUUUGUGACUGAGUGGCGGACGGGUGAGUAACGCGUGGGUAACCUGCCUCAUACAGGGGGAUAACAGUUGGAAACGACUGCUAAUACCGCAUAAGCGCACAGGAUUGCAUGAUCCAGUGUGAAAAACUCCGGUGGUAGUGAGAUGGACCCGCGUU
rnacentral:rRNA from 1 species